GGGGUGCAGCUCAGUGGUAGAGUUCUUGACUAGUAUGCAUGAGACUCUGGGUUCCAUUCUCAGUACCACA
rnacentral:tRNA from 1 species